GCUGGGUCCUGGUUCCUGGACGAGCCGCAUGGCAUUUGGGAGAAUUCCCCGGGAGCGUGUGUGAAGUAUUUUGGUGGAGUUCAAAAAUAUGAAGUUUGUUCCUGCUUCAGUGGCUCGUGGUUUGUGCCCAGCCAGACUGCGGCACUACUGGACAUCAAGGUCUUGUUAUAUCACUCAGGCUGGUCUUGAACUUCUGGGCUCAAGGGAUCCCUCUGCCUGAGUUUCCCCGGUGCUGAGACUAUAGUGCUGGGGAUGGAACCCAGGGCCUUGCACAUGCCAGGGAAGUGCUCUAUCACUGACCUACACUGCCAACCCAAUUGAUACUUUACAACAAUAAAUGUGAUCUCUGAAGAAUGAUGACAUAGUAAAUAAUAUAUAAUUAAAGGGCUUAUGGUCUAUUUCAGGGAUCAACAAACUAAGGUCUUAGGCAUGUUUUUGUAUAGCCCAUGAGAUAACAUUAGAUUUUGAAAGGUUGUAGAAAUAAGA